rnacentral:rRNA from 1 species
GGAUCAGUAGGUUGGUCGUGCCACCGGUACGUACUGGUCUCACUGAUUCCUCCUUCCUGAAGAACCGUAAUGCCAUUAAUUUGGUGUUGCGGGGAAACAGGACUGUUACUUUGAAAAAAUUAGAGUGCUUAAAGCAAGCUAACGCUUGAAUACAUUAGCAUGGAAUAAUGAAAUAGGACGAUCGAUCCUAUUUUGUUGGUUUCUAGGAUUGACGUA